GUACACUCCUGCGGGAGGCAGCAGUGGGGAAUAUUGGACAAUGGGGGCAACCCUGAUCCAGCCAUGCCGCGUGAGUGAUGAAGGCCCUAGGGUUGUAAAGCUCUUUUGUGCGGGAAGAUAAUGACGGUACCGCAAGAAUAAGCCCCGGCUAACUUCGUGCCAGCAGCCGCGGUAAUACGAAGGGGGCUAGCGUUGCUCGGAAUCACUGGGCGUAAAGGGUGCGUAGGCGGGUCUUUAAGUCAGGGGUGAAAUCCUGGAGCUCAACUCCAGAACUGCCUUUGAUACUGAGGAUCUUGAGUCCGGAAGAGGUGAGUGGAACUGCGAGUGUAGAGGUGAAAUUCGUAGAUAUUCGCAAGAACACCAGUGGCGAAGGCGGCUCACUGGUCCGGUACUGACGCUGAGGCACGAAAGCGUGGGGAGCAAACAGGAUUAGAAACCCCUGUAGUCCCAU
rnacentral:rRNA from 1 species